rnacentral:rRNA from 1 species
CAGUAAACGAUGAAUGCUCACUGUCCGGGCCGUUUAAGGCCUAGGUGGUCAAGCGAAAGCGUUAAGCAUUCCACCUGGGGAGUACGCCGGCAACGGUGAAACUCAAAGGAAUUGACGGGGGCCCGCACAAGCGGAGGAACAUGUGGUUUAAUUCGAUGAUACGCGAGGAACCUUACCCGGGCUCAAACGGAAGGGGACAGUAUGAGAAAUCAUACAUUCCUUCGGGACCGCUUCCGAGGUGCUGCAUGGUUGUCGUCAGCUCGUGCCGUGAGGUGUCGGCUUAAGUGCCAUAACGAGCGCAACCCCUAUCGACAGUUGCUAGCAGGUAAAGCUGAGGACUCUGUCGAGACUGCCGGCGCAAGCUGUGAGGAAGGCGGGGAUGACGUCAAAUCAGCACGGCCCUUACGUCCGGGGCGACACACGUGUUACAAUGGCAGGUACAGCGGGAAGCCACCCGGCGACGGGGCGCAGAACCCGAAAACCUGUCUCAGUUCGGAUUGGAGUAUGCAACCCGACUCCAUGAAGCUGGAUUCGCUAGUAA